rnacentral:rRNA from 1 species
AGCGGGGGGUAGCUUGCUACCUCGCCGGCGAGUGGCGGACGGGUGAGUAAUGCCUGGGGAGCUGCCCAAUCGAGGGGGAUACCAGUUGGAAACGACUGCUAAUACCGCAUACGCCCUGAGGGGGAAAGGUGGGGAUCUUCGGACCUACCGCGAUUGGAUGCGCCCAGGUGGGAUUAGCUAGUUGGUGAGGUAACGGCUCACCAAGGCGACGAUCUCUAGCUGGUCUGAGAGGAUGACCAGCCACACUGGAACUGAGACACGGUCCAGACUCCUACGGGAGGCAGCAGUGGGGAAUAUUGCACAAUGGGGGAAACCCUGAUGCAGCCAUGCCGCGUGUGUGAAGAAGGCCUUCGGGUUGUAAAGCACUUUCAGUCAGGAGGAAAGGUGGCUAGCUAAUACCUAGUUGCUGUGACGUUACUGACAGAAGAAGCACCGGCUAACUCCGUGCCAGCAGCCGCGGUAAUACGGA